AUUGAACGCUGGCGGCGUGCCUAACACAUGCAAGUCGAGCGGUAACAGGUGUAGCAAUACAUGCUGACGAGCGGCGGACGGGUGAGUAACGCUUGGGAAUCUGCCUGAUAGUGGGGGACAACCCGGGGAAACUCGGGCUAAUACCGCAUACGCACUACGGUGGAAAGCCGGGGACCGCAAGGCCUGGCGCUAACAGAUGAGCCCAAGUCGGAUUAGCUAGUUGGUAGGGUAACGGCCUACCAAGGCGACGAUCCGUAACUGGUCUGAGAGGACGACCAGUCACACCGGAACGGAGACACGGUCCGGACUCCUACGGGAGGCAGCAGUGGGGAAUAUUGGACAAUGGGCGAAAGCCUGAUUCAGCGACGCCGCGUGGGUGAAGAAGGCCUGCGGGUUGUAAAGCCCUUUCGGUGGGGAAGAAAAGCCUCGAGCUAAUACCUCGGGGUCUUGACGUAACCCAUAGAAGAAGCACCGGCUAACUCUGUGCCAGCCGCCGCAGUAA
rnacentral:rRNA from 1 species